rnacentral:ncRNA from 1 species
GAUAACUGGCUUGUGGCAGAGCCAAGCGUUCAUAGCGACGUUGCUUUUUGAUCCUUCGAUGUCGGCUCUUCCUAUCAUACUGAAGCAGAAUUCAGUAAGCGUUGGAUUGUUCACCCACUAAUAGGAAAAAGAUCAAGGGAU